rnacentral:rRNA from 4 species
CCGUUGGUGAACCAGCGGAGGGAUCAUUG